UCUCUGGUGGUCCAAUACUAAGACUCUGGGCUUCCAGUGCAGGGGCCCAGGUUCGAUCCCUGGUCAGGGAA
rnacentral:tRNA from 1 species